UACGAAGGGGGCUAGCGUUGUUCGGAAUUACUGGGCGUAAAGCGCACGUAGGCGGAUAUUUAAGUCAGGGGUGAAAUCCCGCAGCUCAACUGCGGAACUGCCUUUGAUACUGGGUAUCUAGAGUAUGGAAGAGGUGAGUGGAAUUCCGAGUGUAGAGGUGAAAUUCGUAGAUAUUCGGAGGAACACCAGUGGCGAAGGCGGCUCACUGGUCCAUUACUGACGCUGAGGUGGCGAAAGCGUGGGGAGCAAACAGG
rnacentral:rRNA from 1 species